GACGAACGCUGGCGGCGUGCUUAACACAUGCAAGUCGAACGGAAAGGCCCCUUUGGGGGUACUCGAGUGGCGAACGGGUGAGUAACACGUGAGUAACCUGCCCUUGACUUCGGGUUAACUUCAGGAAACUGGGGCUAAUACCGGCUAGGAAUCCUUGCUGCAUGGUGGGGGUUGGAAAGCUUCGGGGGUUUUGGAUGGACUCGCGGCUUAUCAGCUUGUUGGUGGGGGAGUGGCUUACCAAGGCUUUGACGGGUAGCCGGCCUGGGAGGGCGACCGGCCACAUUGGGACUGAGAUACGGCCCAGACUCCUACGGGGGGCAGCAGUGGGGAAUAUUUCACAAUGGGCGGAAGCCUGAUGCAGCAACGCCGCGUGCGGGAAGACGGCCUUCGGGUUGUAAACCGCUUUCAGCAGGGGCGAAGCUUGUGGUGACGGUACCUGCAGAAGAAGCACCGGCUAACUACGUG
rnacentral:rRNA from 1 species